rnacentral:lncRNA from 1 species
GGCCGGCAGAGGCGAGUUUUGCAGUCUCCACGCACGAGAGGAGGAGCUGCUCCUCACGGCUGGAUGAGAUGUCCCACCCUGCACACUAAGGCCGUGUGGUGCCGUUGUAAAGGGCAGAGGGUGUGUGUGCUACCCAGAUGCCUCUUCCUUAGAGCAGCAGUCUCCUGGUCUGCAGAAGGCGCCCUUGCUGUGUCCUGCACCUCAGGGAGCCCGCCCCGCAGCAGAGGGGUUCACCCAAGAUCAUGCCGUGUUCUCACGUCCUCCAGCGAGAAGCGGACCCCUCAGUACCUAGCUGGUGUGUGGCCCAGGGCCACCCUUGGGUCUUGGGUCUUGGGCGAGUGACCCAGCCAAAGGGCUUGUCCAGCUGAUGUCUCGGUCCGGCCUUCACAGCAGCGCCCAGGAGCCCAUGCUGAGGUGUGGGGGUGCUGGCCCUGGGCCAUGUGGCCCGGAGCUGGGCUUCCUUCCGGUGACCCCUCCCUAUCUCUCCACAUGUGUGCCUGCGAGUGAUGGCACUGGGGGCACUGUGGCUGCCAGACUCCAUCGGCCAGGGAGAUGCGUUUUGUCCUUUGGACGCUGACAACAAGGCCACGUUUCCGAGCCUGCUGUCUGCUUCAGUGUUUCUGGCUGUCCACCAGGUGUGGAGCGCAGGCAUCUGGCCCGGUCUGCAGCAGCUGACAGGUGACAGCUGAGCAGGAUUCAGAGUUGCACUUCUCCAGGGACACCAGCCCACCACUACUGGGCAGACCCAUCGGCCGUCCUGGUACAGAACGACCGUGCUCUGCUGCCAACUCCGCCCACUGCCUUGUGACCUGAAGCCGCUUUCCCCAUCCUGUUUGCUCUGUUGUUCUGGGCAGAUUCCAUUCCUGGAAAGGCCUGAAGCAAAGCUCUGUGUGCAGGGUAGCAGUGCUGGGACCAUCCGGUAAGGAGCAAGCCCUGGUCCCAGGCCGGAGUGAGGAUUUGCUGUGAGCUGUGGGACCCAGGGCCCCUCUCCCUCGAGCCCUGCAGCUGCUCACGUCACCACACGGAGCCUCUCUGCAUGGAACAAAACUCCCUAUCCUCUGAGGGCUCCUGAUGCUAUCGUCUGUCUCACAGGAAACCCUGACGGAGGUCUGGGCAGAUCUGGCACCAUGUGGCUUCCAGCUCUUCCCCACUGUCAGAAUGACCAGGAAAAGGAAACGUUUUGAAUCCAUUCAGGACAUGGAGGCAGCCAGGACAGCGCAACUAAAGACACUCGGGAAAGAGGGCUCCAGAGCUGCUGCAGGAAGCGGCCAGGACGGUGGGAGGAGCGUGUGUGAGGAAAAACUGCAUUGCCACGGAUCCCCCUGUGACACUGUCCUAGCGGUGAGCACCUCAUCUCGUCUUCCUUGCCCUCUGGAGCAGGUCCAGAGCCCAUCUGCCUGGCUGUGGAGGCUGCAGCCUGUGCUGCAUGUGUCUUGGUGGCUUUGCUUUCUAUCCACCUAUGCACGCCUUUCCACACCUUCCACAGGGUCUGGAAGGAGCAAGGACGGGGACCUGGACUCAAAUCCACACUGGGCUGAAGCCAAAGCUCCCUGUGUCCUGCAUGGGUGCUUCCAAGGCUGGAGGCUCGGCUCCGCAAUGCCUCCUGCUGAAGUCAGACCGGGGUGCUCACCUUCCACUGGCUCACGUGCUUGCAGGGGGUUUGUGAGGACCACAUUUCCCAGAGUUGGCCCUGUGGGACAGGAGGCCUGGUGUCAGCAGCAGCUGGAGUGGCCAUUCCUCGCCUGGGAUGCUGGGAAGGAGUUGCAGUUGGGAUGGCAGUCAAGACCCCGGGCCCGAGAGUGGCAGCUGGCCAUCCAGAUCAGCAGCGUCCAGAUCCCUGGCCAGGGCGGCAGAUGGUCCCCUCCCUGAGGCAGUGACGCCCCCCGUGGUCCCCGUGACGGGCUUCCUGGGGCAGGAGGCGUCUCAAUGCCGCCGCUGUCUGGCUCCCAACACAAACCCCAGCUUCCCAACUGCUCUCAGAAUAGAUGCACAUGUUGGAGUCUUUCCGCGGGCAGGAAACGUCACGACCAAGGACAUGGUGUUUUUGUCAUCUGAUGUCCUUGUCUGAAUGAUCCAGCAUGGCCGCCCAGGCCAAGCUAAAAAAUCAAGAUGGAGCCACUCAGGCUAAAGUUCCGUGUGACCUGCCUGGACUCAGCUGUCAUAUGACCUUCCUAGAAGACAGGAGAGGAAAUGGACAAAUUUCCCAAACAGGCCAGGUUUCCUCCAUCAGCCUCCCUGUCCAGCCUCACCUCAUCUUGCAAGGUGUUGUGAUGCUGUCUUGUGACACACAUGCAGGUAGAUAUAACAUGAUGUGUAUGCUAUAGUGUCAUUAUCAUCACAGCAGGAAAUAUGGGGACUGAAAGCUCAGAGGAGACUCCCCAGUAUUGAUUUCUCAGAUUCCUUCUGUAUGUGGGGGACAUGGGGG